rnacentral:rRNA from 1 species
UACAGAGGUCUCAAGCGUUGUUCGGAUUCAUUGGGCGUAAAGGGUGCGUAGGCGGCGUGGUAAGUCGGGUGUGAAAUCUUGGAGCUUAACUCCGAAACUGCAUUCGAUACUGCCGUGCUUGAGGACUGGAGAGGAGACUGGAAUUUACGGUGUAGCGGUGAAAUGCGUAGAUAUCGUAAGGAAGACCAGUGGCGAAGGCGGGUCUCUGGACAGUUCCUGACGCUGAAGCACGAAGGCCAGGGGAGCAAACGGG